CUAUACGGUGAAACUGCGAAUGGCUCAUUAAAUCAGUUAUCGUUUAUUUGAUAGUACCUUACUACUUGGAUAACCGUGGUAAUUCUAGAGCUAAUACAUGCUAAAAACCCCGACUUCGGAAGGGGUGUAUUUAUUAGAUAAAAAACCAAUGCCCUUCGGGGCUCCUUGGUGAUUCAUAAUAACUUAACGAAUCGCAUAGCCUUGUGCUGGCGAUGGUUCAUUCAAAUUUCUGCCCUAUCAACUUUCGAUUGUAUGGUAUUGGCUUACAAUGGUUUCAACGGGUAACGGGGAAUUAGGGUUCUAUUCCGGAGAGGGAGCCUGAGAAACGGCUACCACAUCCAAGGAAGGCAGCAGGCGCGCAAAUUACCCAAUCCCGACACGGGGAGGUAGUGACAAUAAAUACUGAUACAGGGCUCUUUUGGGUCUUGUAAUUGGAAUGAGUACAAUUUAAAUCCCUUAACGAGGAACAAUUGGAGGGCAAGUCUGGUGCCAGCAGCCGCGGUAAUUCCAGCUCCAAUAGCGUAUAUUAAAGUUGUUGCAGUUAAAAAGCUCGUAGUUGAACCUUGGGUUUGGUUGGUCGGUCCGCCUCACCGCGUGCACUGAUCCGACCGAAUCUUUCCUUCUGGGGAACCGUAUGCUCUUCACUGGGUGUACUGGGGAACCAGGACUUUUACUUUGAAAAAAUUAGAGUGUUCAAAGCAGGCCUAUGCUCGAAUACAUUAGCAUGGAAUAAUAGAAUAGGACGUGUGGUUCUAUUUUGUUGGUUUCUAGGACCGCCGUAAUGAUUAAUAGGGAUAGUCGGGGGCAUCAGUAUUCAAUUGUCAGAGGUGAAAUUCUUGGAUUUAUUGAAGACUAACUACUGCGAAAGCAUUUGCCAAGGAUGUUUUCAUUAAUCAGUGAACGAAAGUUAGGGGAUCGAAGACGAUCAGAUACCGUCGUAGUCUUAACCAUAAACUAUGCCGACUAGGGAUCGGGCGGUGUUAUCUUUUUGACCCGCUCGGCACCUUACGAGAAAUCAAAGU
rnacentral:rRNA from 2 species